AAAUUCAUAAAUGAAUGUUUAACUAUGUACUAGUAAUAAAGGUAAAGAAUUCUUGAUAGUAUCAGAAAUUUAAGUUUUGGAUUAUGUCAAGAUAUUCCUUACCUUAUAUUUCAAUGAAAAAAGGAUUGUAGCCAGAAACGUAAAUGCAUAAAAGUUAAGUAAAUCCACCUAACUCAACUUGGAUAGCCUCAAGUGGUACCUCUAAACCUUAUAAAUACCUUGCGUACUUUACAAUCGUCAAUUGCAAUAAUAGUAUACUUACAUCCUCUCAUCAUAAUCUCCAUUAUCUUCUUCUCAAUUUGCCGAGGUUAUCUUUUGUUAUUUUCAGUUUUAGCAAUGGAAGAUGAGGGGACAUCAAGUAAAAGCAAAGGUCGUCAAAAGAUCGAGUCAAAAAAGAUGGAGAAUGAAGCCAGUCUCCAAGUU
rnacentral:lncRNA from 1 species